UCCGUAGGUUGAUAAUUAAGUCAGAGGUGAAAUCCUGCCGCUCAACGGUAGAAUUGCCUUUGAUACUGGUUAUCUUGAGUUAUUAUGAAGUAGUUAGAAUAUGUAGUGUAGCGGUGAAAUGCAUAGAUAUUACAUAGAAUACCAAUUGCGAAGGCAGAUUACUAAUAAUCAACUGACACUGAUGGACGAAAGCGUGGGGAGCGAACA
rnacentral:rRNA from 1 species